rnacentral:rRNA from 1 species
AUUGAACGCUGGCGGCAUGCCUUACACAUGCAAGUCGAACGGUAACAGGUUAAGCUGCCGAGUGGCGAACGGGUGAGUAAUGUAUCGGAACGUGCCCAGUCGUGGGGGAUAACUGCUCGAAAGAGCAGCUAAUACCGCAUACGACCUGAGGGUGAAAGCGGGGGAUCGCAAGACCUCGCGCGAUUGGAGCGGCCGAUAUCAGAUUAGGUAGUUGGUGAGGUAAAGGCUCACCAAGCCGACGAUCUGUAGCUGGUCUGAGAGGACGACCAGCCACACUGGGACUGAGACACGGCCCAGACUCCUACGGGAGGCAGCAGUGGGGAAUGUUGGACAAUGGGCGCAAGCCUGAUCCAGCCAUGCCGCGUGCGGGAAGAAGGCCUUCGGGUUGUAAACCGCUUUUGUCAGGGAAGAAAAGGUUCUGGCUAAUACCUGGGACUCAUGACGGUACCUGAAGAAUAAGCACCGGCUAACUACGUG